rnacentral:rRNA from 1 species
UACGGGGGGGGGCAAGCGUUGUUCGGAAUUACUGGGCGUAAAGGGUGCGUAGGCGGUUCGCUAAGUUGGAUGUGAAAACUAUGGGCUCAACCCAUAGCCUGCAUCCAAUACUGACGAACUAGAGUUCUGGAGGGGGUAGCGGAAUUCCUGGUGUAGCGGUGAAAUGCGUAGAUAUCAGGAGGAACACCGGUGGCGAAGGCAGGUCUCUGGGCCACUACUGACGCUGAGAAGCGAAAGCAUGGGGAGCGAACAGG